rnacentral:rRNA from 1 species
AGUGAACGCUGGCGGUAGGCCUAACACAUGCAAGUCGAACGGCAGCACAGUAAGAGCUUGCUCUUACGGGUGGCGAGUGGCGGACGGGUGAGGAAUACAUCGGAAUCUACUUUUUCGUGGGGGAUAACGUAGGGAAACUUACGCUAAUACCGCAUACGACCUACGGGUGAAAGCAGGGGAUCUUCGGACCUUGCGCGAUUGAAUGAGCCGAUGCCGGAUUAGCUAGUUGGCGGGGUAAAGGCCCACCAAGGCGACGAUCCGUAGCUGGUCUGAGAGGAUGUACAGCCACACUGGAACUGAGACACGGUCCAGACUCCUACGGGAGGCAGCAGUGGGGAAUAUUGGACAAUGGGCGCAAGCCUGAUCCAGCCAUACCGCGUGGGUGAAGAAGGCCUUCGGGUUGUAAAGCCCUUUUGUUGGGAAAGAAAAGCAGCAGGUUAAUACCCCGCUGUUCUGACGGUACCCAAAGAAUAAGCACCGGCUAACUUCGUG